ACGAACGCUGGCGGCGUGCUUAGCACAUGCAAGUCGAACGGAAAGGCCCUGCUUUUGUGGGGUGCUCGAGUGGCGAACGGGUGAGUAACACGUGAGUAACCUGCCCUUGACUUUGGGAUAACUUCGGGAAACUGGGGCUAAUACCGGAUAGGAGCUCCUGCUGCAUGGUGGGGGUUGGAAAGUUUCGGCGGUUGGGGAUGGACUCGCGGCUUAUCAGCUUGUUGGUGGGGUAGUGGCUUACCAAGGCUUUGACGGGUAGCCGGCCUGAGAGGGUGACCGGCCACAUUGGGACUGAGAUACGGCCCAGACUCCUACGGGAGGCAGCAGUGGGGAAUAUUGCACAAUGGGCGGAAGCCUGAUGCAGCAACGCCGCGUGCGGGAUGACGGCCUUCGGGUUGUAAACCGCUUUCGCCUGUGACGAAGCGUGAGUGACGGUAAUGGGUAAAGAAGCACCGGCUAACUACGUG
rnacentral:rRNA from 1 species